CCAGGAUCAACACAGAGAUAAACACAGAGAUAAACACAGAGGGCACAACCACGCCAGGAAACAUAGAAGACAUACCAACAAGUAACAAUGGGACACACAGGUGUGUAUAUAUACACAGACACUAAUCACAAGAACAGGACACAGCUGGAGGAGGCAAAGACAAGACGGCAGCAGGUGAUCAGACACAGAAGGAUCAAAUCAGGGCGGGGCAAACAAAUCAAAACACAAGGUGAGUGAGUGAAAGCCAGGAACAUGACAGGGAUUCUGUAUCCAGUAGUGCUGUUUGCAGAGACCAGGGAAGCAGUCCUGCAGCUGUAACUCUCAUUUCUCCUCCAAGCCAAAGGCCAGCCGGCUGACAGCCAACUUCCUUCCAAACCCAGUCCUUGGGAGUCUGUCCCCUUCCUCCUGGUUCGGCCAUGGUUUACACAGACCAACAGCUGCAGAGCAGACAAGCACUGUGAGUACCUCUUUCUGUUAGCCUUGAGAGUAAGGAGAUAAUCUGUCUGACCAUGCACAGCUGUGAGGGCAGCCUGACGAGCUACUGGGAUCCAACAUAUGACAGGGAGGGGGUUUAGUGGAGCAAGACCCUAUCCUCCAAUCCAGGCCACCGUGGCAGAUCUGGGUCUCGGACGGAAUGGGCAGAGAGGAAGCCUCCGGAAGCUGCAGUACAUGCCCUGCACGUGUGACAGAGGAAAUUUGUUGUUUAUGUCGUGAGUCUGCAGUUGCCACAUUGGAGUUUAUUGUCCGGUCCUGGUGAUAAAUGGAGAAGCCAUCCACAGCGCAAUCUUCUCCUCUUCAUCUUGUAUCCUUG
rnacentral:lncRNA from 1 species